rnacentral:lncRNA from 1 species
GGUGUUUAAAAAUAGAUACAUGUGGAAAAUGAAUAGGAAACACGGGUUUAGACAUAGUUAUAUGGGCUACUUGCAGCAGCAACAAUCACCAUCCAGACACCCAUGACACAUUUCCGGGCAGCAACAACAGCAAAACAUUGUGAAGAAACUGCAUAAAUAAAUAUUUAUCAAUUAUCACAGAAAUUUUCUAUACAAUGGACAGGUAACAAGUCAAAGUUUGGGUUUGGGAUUGAGUUGAUCCCUUGACCUCUUUUUUUUUAAAAAUUUUUAAAAUAAUUAAUGUAUUAGAUAUGUUUACAAGAUGUAUAUUAUUAAGAGGUUUAAGGUCAUAAAAUGACAACAUAUUUUCUGAUUUGUCUCAAUUUUUUUACAUAUUUAAUCAUUUUACUUUUAAAAAGCGUCUCCAUUAGCUCAUUAUUUUUUGAAUGAACUUUAGGAAUUUGGGCAACUUUUAAACCAUUUUCCUUUUAUCUUUUACAAGUUUAACCCUUUAGAGAGAACAUAUAAUCCAUAUCGAUCCAUUUUUAUUUUUUAAGUAUAUGGACUAGGGAGCAUAGAACUUAUAGAAGGAGAUGAGAUAAAAAGUAAAAAGGAAUUCAGAAAGUAUACAAACCAGGCAUAUAUGUAGCCCCUUUCAUCCUUCCGUUGUUGGAUUUGAUGAUGGGAUGACAUCACUUGUAUCUUUGGUGCUUCUGACAUCUCUUCUAUGUGUGGAGGUGGUUUUUUCUAAAACUAAAAGUAACAGAAAAGAAACAAAGCCAAUGAGGAUAUAUGGUAUAAAGAAGGGUAUGCCUUGUAUGACCGUAUUUAAUGAGAGUGGUGCAUAGUUGGUGGUUAUCAACCAACAAUAGCCAUAAGGUCCAGCCCCCAAAGCCCCAACCCAACACAAAUGUAAUUUAACAGCGUGCAAAAGAGAUCACA